ACAUGGAGUUGCUUCUGUGGAACUGGUUAUCUGCCAUGGCCUCAGCAAUCCAUAAAUCCAUGCAUGGAGAGGAUUCCCCAUGGUCAGAAGUCAACUUGUACAUCUAGUUAAAAUCCAAGCUCUUUCCAGCUGCUUAACCACUACUACUGGGAGCAUAAAUCAGUGCUAAGGUUUGGCUCCGCCUUAGCCUGAGAAGCAGUUUCCACAUAUACAACCGAUGCAUUCAUCGGUUGCUCCGAGCACCUCCGGAAAGAGAAGAUGUCAUACUUCUAUUCUGCAAUCCGUGUGGUGCAUUGCAGAUGUUGCUUUGACUCAUAAUAUCCUCUAGGUGGCGAUAUUUUCAAAGAAUCCAUGCCAACACCCCCACCUAAGAGAACUCAGUAUCAGCACUCCGUAUUUUACACUUUACCUUAGCUAUGAUUUUUUAAU